rnacentral:rRNA from 1 species
GACGAACGCUGGCGGCGUGCUUAACACAUGCAAGUCGAACGGAAAGGCCCUGCUUUUGUGGGGUGCUCGAGUGGCGAACGGGUGAGUAACACGUGAGUAACCUGCCCUUGACUUUGGGAUAACUUCAGGAAACUGGGGCUAAUACCGGAUAGGAGCUCCUGCUGCAUGGUGGGGGUUGGAAAGUUUCGGCGGUUGGGGAUGGACGCGCGGCUAAUCAGCUUGUUGGUGGGGUAGUGGCUUACCAAGGCUUUGACGGGUAGCCGGCCUGAGAGGGUGACCGGCCACAUUGGGACUGAGAUACGGCCCAGACUCCUACGGGAGGCAGCAGUGGGGAAUAUUGCACAAUGGGCGGAAGCCUGAUGCAGCAACGCCGCGUGCGGGAUGACGGCCUUCGGGUUGUAAAAAGCUUUCGCCUGUGACGAAGCGUGAGUGACGGUAAUGGGUAAAGAAGCACCGGCUAACUACGUG